rnacentral:pre_miRNA from 1 species
GGUUGCCGAAUGGAAGACAGGAGAUUGCGUCGUUGCACUUUCACCUCGCUGCAAUCCCCGUCUAUCCGAUCGGCUCACUG